GAUAGCCGUAAAUAAUGGCUGGAUUUAGAGUUGGCGCUGUGACGAUUCGCACUGUUUGUGAUGCUGCAUCGUAAAGCCCGCCCCAGUACAUAGCUUUAGCCACCAAUAACAACGCUCCGAAACCCAAAAAUAGCAGAUGGUGCCCUAAAAUUAGCCCCAACUGCUUGGGGUCAUUCCA
rnacentral:antisense_RNA from 1 species